CAAUAUUCAACAGCAGUGCUUCAAGUCUAGCUGCACAGACUGGGUGGGUUCACAGGCAGACAUUUGAAUUCUCAGUCCUGAGAAUAGAAGUGAUUGCACAGCCACGGACCUGCCUAUCAGCUGCAGUGUGCAGAAAGCUUGAGACCCAGGACUCUUCCUCUUCUGAUACUGGUUUCUCAGUUGUGCUGUCUUCCUGAGACUGUGUGUGGAGUCAACCAGUCAUGGAUAAAAGACGAUUUGAAGUCAGUCCCAGUGCACCAGCAAGGAGCGCCAGAAGGAAGGCAGAUGAAUACUUAAAACCCAAACUAGGCUCCAAAAAUGUGCUGAGCUUUUUACUAGGUAGACAACUAGGGAGACAUGAAAGUGAUGUGGAUCUGUCAAAGUGGCUGUGGAUGUUGCAACGAGCAACACCAGGGUGGAAUUGGCCUUUGCCAAAACACCAUGUGGCUUAUAUGCUUAUGCCUGCCCAGAAUCUUGGAAAACCCAGAAAAAAGGGUUUAGAAUAAAAUGUCUCCCAUGUCUCAGCUAUUGAAAUAGAAACUGUA